AGAAGAAAGGGUAUGAAGAGGAAGUGAAGUAUGGUGUCAACGGUGCCAGUUCAUCUGCUUCUAAAAACAUUUAUGUAAAAGUAAGAAGACAAAACAGCCAUCGCGCUAAACCCAGGGUGCUGCUGAGCCCCAGGGUGGUGUUGACUGCUGCUGAGGUCCUGACCUGGGAGGAGAGUGAGGGCCGGGCCUUCAACUCCAAGGCCAUGGCUGUAAGAAACAAUCAUUUCCAACCCCACUUAAUUAUCUCUCCCCAGUCACUUUCUUUCCUUCUGUUAUAUUUGUCUUCUGCCAUGUAGGUAAAGGAAGGAAAAACAAAAUUUAAGAAAAGUCUAUGGAGUAGGUUAGGCGGGGGUUAGCGUGGAUGGUGAGACCGAAGGGUCAGAGGAACAUGAGACAGGUCAGACUGGGGUGGCCAACUGUCCCAGUUCACCUGGGACUGAGGAAGUACCUGGGCCUGAGACUCUUGUUUUAAAACUGGGAUGGUCCUGGACAAACCAGGAAGAGUAGAUCCCCCUACUCCCUGAUGGC
rnacentral:lncRNA from 1 species